rnacentral:lncRNA from 1 species
UUGUAUAUAAAAUGUUCAAAACGCGGAUUUUAAAUUAGUUAUUAGUUAUUCCAGUAUCAAAAACUUAUAUAUGUUCUUAUAGAUCACAAUGUUACACAUUUACAGCUGUCUGAGUAAUCAUACCUUAGGUUGAACUUAUUAUAUCCUACUUUUGGUAGUCAUGAUAAUUUCAAAGCUGAACAAAUUGAUUAGAAAUGAAAAUUCAAUGCAAAAUGAAAUACGUGUUCAUUUCCAUUGACAUAUUCAAUAAAACAAUAAAUUUACCAUAUUUAAGAAGUUGGAUAGGUAUAUAGUAUCGGUUUAUAAAAAGUGUUUGUCAGCAUUCUUCAAAAAUAGACUGUUACAAGCUGAUCAUAAAUAUUUGCUUCUGAUUUGAAAAGUAGAUAGAUUACAUUACUGGCAUAUUUAAAAGGGCAAAUCUCCAAAAUAGCAUUUUUCUAAGUUUAUAUCACAAAAAUAGCACUCCAAAACUAAAAUGACCAAAAUAGCACAUUUCUAAGUUUAUCCUUUGAAAAUUUUAAUUUUUUCAUUUUUCAAAAUUUGAAAUCUUAUCCCCAAAACCUCAUUUCUCAACUCUAAACCCUAAACCUUAAACUCUAAACCCUAAACUCUAAACCCUAAACCCUAAACUCUAAACCC